UUAAUGUCUACAAUUCCCAAUGCUUAUCUUUAAUAGAGCAUUUUGGCAUUUUCAAAUCUAUCAAUAUUGUACUCAAUUUUAUCUCCUCUAUUUUGAUAUACAACAUUAGUCUUGUUCUCAUUCUUGUUUAUUCUUCUUCUCCCACUUCAUUACCUUGCACCAACACAAAACACAUCGACUUUCAACCGACAAAGCCAAAUCAUUUCAUUUAG